GACGAACGCUGGCGGCGUGCUUAACACAUGCAAGUCGAACGGAAAGGCCCUGCUUUUGUGGGGUGCUCGAGUGGCGAACGGGUGAGUAACACGUGAGUAACCUGCCCUUGACUUUGGGAUAACUUCAGGAAACUGGGGCUAAUACCGGAUAGGAGCUCCUGCUGCAUGGUGGGGGUUGGAAAGUUUCGGCGGUUGGGGAUGGACUCGCGGCUUAUCAGCUUGUUGGUGGGGUAGUGGUUUACCAAGGCUUUGACGGGUAGCCGGCCUGAGAGGGUGACCGGCCACAUUGGGACUGAGAUACGGCGCAGACUCCUACGGGAGGCAGCAGGGGGGAAUAUUGCACAGUGGGCGCAAGCCUGAUGCAGCAACGCCGCGUGCGGGAUGACGGCCUUCGGGUUGUAAACCGCUUUCGCCUGUGACGAAGCGUGAGUGACGGUAAUGGGUAAAGAAGCACCGGCUAACUACGUG
rnacentral:rRNA from 1 species